GACGAACGCUGGCGGCGUGCUUAACACAUGCAAGUCGAACGGUAAGGCCCUUCGGGGUACACGAGUGGCGAACGGGUGAGUAACACGUGGGUGAUCUGCCCUGCACUUCGGGAUAAGCCUGGGAAACUGGGUCUAAUACCGGAUAGGACUCCUGGCUUCAUGGUUGGGGGUGGAAAGCUUUUGCGGUGUGGGAUGGGCCCGCGGCCUAUCAGCUUGUUGGUGGGGUAAUGGCCUACCAAGGCGACGACGGGUAGCCGGCCUGAGAGGGUGACCGGGCACACUGGGACUGAGAUACGGCCCAGACUCCUACGGGAGGCAGCAGUGGGGAAUAUUGCACAAUGGGCGCAAGCCUGAUGCAGCGACGCCGCGUGAGGGAUGACGGCCUUCGGGUUGUAAACCUCUUUCAGCUAUGACGAAGCGCAAGUGACGGUAGUGGCAGAAGAAGGACCGGCCAACUACGUGCCAGCCGCCGCGGUAA
rnacentral:rRNA from 1 species